UACAGAGGUCUCAAGCGUUGUUCGGAUUCAUUGGGCGUAAAGGGUGCGUAGGCGGCGCGGUAAGUCGGGUGUGAAAUCUCGGAGCUUAACUCCGAAACUGCAUUCGAUUCUGCCGUGCUUGAGGACUGGAGAGGAGACUGGAAUUUACGGUGUAGCGGUGAAAUGCGUAGAUAUCGUAAGGAAGACCAGUGGCGAAGGCGGGUCUCUGGACAGUUCCUGACGCUGAGGCACGAAGGCCAGGGGAGCAAACGGG
rnacentral:rRNA from 1 species